rnacentral:rRNA from 1 species
UUAUGGCUCAGGAUGAACGCUGGCGGCGUGCCUAAUACAUGCAAGUCGUACGAGGGGAGUCCAGCUUGCUGGACGGAACGAGUGGCGAACGGGUGAGUAAUACGUAAGCAACCUGCCUGCAAGGACUGGGAUAACACCUGGAAACGGGCGCUAAUACCGGAUAGGUAACGGAGGGGCAUCCCACUGUUAUUAAAGGUUAAAAACACAAGCAGAUGGGCUUACGGUGCAUUAGCUAGUUGGUGAGGUAACGGCCCACCAAGGCGAUGAUGCAUAGCCGGCCUGAGAGGGUGAACGGCCACAUUGGGACUGAGACACGGCCCAGACUCCUACGGGAGGCAGCAGUAGGGAAUUUUCGGCAAUGGACGAAAGUCUGACCGAGCAACGCCGCGUGAGUGAAGAAGGUUUUCGGAUUGUAAAGCUCUGUUGUAAGGGAAGAACAGCACGGAGAGAAUCCGUGAAUGACGGUACCUUACCAGAAAGCCACGGCUAACUACGUGCCAGCAGCCGC